CGAGUGGGGAAUAACCUCGGGAAACCGGGGCUAAUACCGCAUAACAUCUACGGAUCAAAUGCGUAAGCAGCUUGAGGAGGGGGUCGCGGCCGAUUAGCUAGUUGGUGAGGUAAUGGCUCACCAAGGCGACGAUCAGUAGCUGGUCUGAGAGGAUGAUCAGCCACAUUGGAACUGAGACACGGCCCAAACUC
rnacentral:rRNA from 1 species